CACCACAGCAGGUGGAGCCUGCGGUUUAAUCGGACUCAACGCCGGGAAACUCACCAGAUAAGACAGCUGAAUGAUAGUCGGGCUGAAGACUCUACUUGACUAGCUGAGAGGAGGUGCAUGGCCGUCGUCAGUUCGUACUGUGAAGCAUCCUGUUAAGUCAGGCAACGAGCGAGACCCACGCCAACAGUUGCCAGCUCGUCCUCCGGGAUGGUGGGGACACUGUUGGGACCGCCUCUGCUAAAGAGGAGGAAGGAAUGGGCAACGGUAGGUCAGCAUGCCCCGAAUUAUCUGGGCUACACGCGGGCUACAAUGGGUGGGACAAUGGGUAUCGACACCGAAAGGUGAAGGCAAUCUCCUAAACCCAUCCGUAGUUCGGAUUGUGGGCUGCAACUCGCCCACAUGAAGCUGGAAUCUGUAGUAAUCGUGUCUCAAAAUGGCACGGUGAAUAUGUCCCUGCUCCUU
rnacentral:rRNA from 1 species